rnacentral:rRNA from 1 species
UACGUAGGGUGCGAGCGUUAAUCGGAAUUACUGGGCGUAAAGCGUGCGCAGGCGGUGAUGUAAGACAGGGGUGAAAUCCCCGGGCUUAACCUGGGAACUGCAUUUGUGACUGCAUCGCUGGAGUGCGGCAGAGGGGGAUGGAAUUCCGCGUGUAGCAGUGAAAUGCGUAGAUAUGCGGAGGAAUACCGAUGGCGAAGGCAGGUCUCUGGGCUGACACUGACGCUCAUGCACGAAAGCGUGGGGAGCAAACAGG